CCGAAGGACCGUGUUUGUACCGUGGAGAGCCAAACGAUACCCGGUUUACCGAUUUCUCGGGCACGCGCGAGUACUCCAGUAAGUUGCUCUCUUUGUUGUUAUUUAGUUGUAUGUAGAGGGCGGGACUCGAACUGAAAUGAACAAGGCGCGGCCAAGAACCCCCUUCCUUCACACGUGUAGACAAAGGGACCCAUCAACACAACCCAAACAUGCAGGGAAAAGUUUUCCCGUGCGCGCGACUUCACGCCAGGACCUCGCGAAGCGCCCAGGCCAGCGCGGGACUGCGAGUACUGGAUAACUUCUGUUUCAACGCACGCCCUUUGAAGGAUUUAUUUAAUCAUUAUUUUUCGCUGUGGAAUAUUAUUACUUUUCUUCGGGAUUAUUGGACUAUUCAUAAUGAGAAUGAUUACUUUCAACGUACAACAUGGACAAACAAAAGAAUCAGAUGGGAUCUGCUGCAGCGGUGACGAGAGGAACAGGAUGAUUCACUCAGUUCUCCCUGCACCUGUUGCUGGCCCUAAUGACCCGAGCCUUUGAAGCGCCGUACAGGACUGACUUUCCUUUGUGACGCGGUUAAUGAAAGCCAAGCACUUCAAAUUGAGAGUGUAAGAGGACCGUCAUCGACACGCUCCAGAGGCCACGGUGAGGAUGCACAGCGCGUCUCGACUUAUCAGUGCAAACAAUUAUCAAAACUGCUUUUUGGCGCCUGGCUCAGAAUGAACAUUCAUCACUGGUGGGCAGGACGCGGUGAGAAACCGUAACGGCCAAAGUUCACACAGAAAGGAAUGCUGAACUCCUCAAGAGGAGCCCGAGAAAUCCAGCAUCAGCACAGAGGAGCCGGAGGAGCCUCAUCGCCUCUCCGCUCGCUCCAGCCCUAGAGGCCCAUAAACAAUAGCCUCUCCUCACAGCAGCCCGGGCCGGAUCCCAGCAACUCUAUUACUAUUCCAGUUGCCACGGGGCGUUGAGCCGCGGUGAACUGCGACCCCUGGCCUUAUUUUCAAAGCUGAUCUCUGAACUGUGCUGUGGCUCAGCGAUUCGCUGUGAAUGCAGACGUGUAGAGAGGGGAGCAGGUGAAUCGCUCUUCCUCUGCUAUUGUUUUUGAUGUGGAACAUGCUCUGAGGCGAUUUCUCAGUGUGUGCAAAGAGCAAACGCAGGGAAGUCAAGAAAUUUGGCUUGAGACGUGGAGAAGUCCAUGACUAGCAAUACGGAUGUCGGCAAAAGCUGUUUGCGUUUUGAUGUCCAAAUGCUUUGUGCAGAGCGCACUUUGCUUCCUCUUGCAUCGAUUAAGACUUUAGGUGAUAAGGUCCAGCAUAUGAAAAAUAAUCCCUAAUUUAAGUUAAAACAUGCUUCCAACAUCAGUCUAAAAACUCCUAGCAUCCUCCAGUCCUGACUGAAAUAAAGGCAGCUAACUGUUGUUCGUUUAGUUGUGUACAUCACCCUUUUACUGCCUCGAAUCCUUCCUGCUUCACUCUCUGUGUGUAAAUCAAUUUGGGCUCUAGGCUGAUCUGCCUUACAGACAUCUUUUCCUUUGAUUGGGUUCCCACCGCAGCCAAGUGCAGGACUACAGACAGCCUUAAGUUCUUUGAGGGAUUUGUACUCCCCCUAGUCCUAGCUUACCCGCCUUGACUCUAUCUGCCGUCCUCCACGGGCUCGGAGAAUUCACAAUCCUGGGCUCCGCUGGGCGGGAAGAAAAGAGGCUUUCACUGCAGACCUACCUGCAGGGCAAACGUCCUUCACAGGCCCUGAUCAGAAACUCCUGUUUGUAAUGAAUUCAAGCCACAUAGAAAGAACAUUUGUGAGAGAUUUCGGCUUUCAGGACACCAUCCACUGCAUCCUUGAAAGACAAACUUUUAUGCUUGAAUCUGGGUUAAUUGAAGCUUAAAUUGAGACUUGGUUUGGUUGUGAUUUUGAUGAAAAACUAUUAAAUAUACUACUGUUCCUCUGUGUUGCAAAUGAAAGUGCACACUUAAUGUAACAGCAUUACUGCUGUACAGCUCUUACUGUUGCUGCAGAAUAUACUAUAAUAUUGGAAUUUGAAGUAUUUCAAAGUGAUGAGGUCAUCGAUAACCCUUUAUUGUGUAAUAAUGGCCACUGUUACACUUCCUGUUUACUAUUGUAAUUAGUAGUAGCAGACAGUAAUACUGUACAGUGGUCAGUAGGUUUUCCAGCAGGUUUUUAGCACUGUUUCCCCAUCUACAAUUGGUCAGAGAAACACUCAGUCCUGUCCAAUCUUACACCACUGACAGUUUGUGAUCAGUAACUUUAUUUCCAUCCACCUUUUUAAAUAUUAUUUUGUGAUUUUUUGUAUAUGGGGAAAAAAAAAAUGCUGGAUAGAAGAAAACAGGAUGCAA